rnacentral:rRNA from 1 species
AGAGUGAACGCUGGCGGUAGGCCUAACACAUGCAAGUCGAACGGCAGCACAGUAGGAGCUUGCUCUUACGGGUGGCGAGUGGCGGACGGGUGAGGAAUACAUCGGAAUCUACCUUUUGGUGGGGGAUAACGUAGGGAAACUUACGCUAAUACCGCAUACGCCCUUCGGGGGAAAGCCGGGGACCAGCAAUGGCCUGGUGCUGAUAGAUGAGCCGAUGUCGGAUUAGCUAGUUGGUGAGGUAAUGGCUCACCAAGGCGACGAUCCGUAGCUGGUCUGAGAGGAUGAUCAGCCACACUGGAACUGAGACACGGUCCAGACUCCUACGGGAGGCAGCAGUGGGGAAUAUUGGGACAAGUGGGCGCAAGCC